UUAGUUGUAGCUCAGUGGUUGAGAUGUUAGACUGCUGAUUGAAAGGUCAUGAGUUCAAAUCCCAGCACCUCCA